CAGUAGCCGCGGGAAUACGAAGGGGGCUAGCGUUGUUCGGAUUUACUGGGCGUAAAGGGCGCGUAGGCGGGUUUUUAAGUCAGAGGUGAAAUCCUGGAGCUCAACUCCAGAACUGCCUUUGAUACUGAAAGUCUUGAGUAUGGGAGAGGUGAGUGGAACUGCGAGUGUAGAGGUGAAAUUCGUAGACAUUCGCAAGAACACCAGUGGCGAAGGCGGCUCACUGGCCCAUAACUGACGCUGAGGCACGAAAGCGUGGGGAGCAAACAGGAUUAGAUACCCCGGUAGUCCCUGUCUCUUAUAC
rnacentral:rRNA from 1 species